UACGUAGGGUGCAAGCGUUGUCCGGAAUUAUUGGGCGUAAAGAGCUCGUAGGCGGCUUGUCGCGUCGACUGUGAAAUCCCGCGGCUCAACCGCGGGUCUGCAGUCGAUACGGGCAGGCUAGAGUUCGGUAGGGGAGACUGGAAUUCCUGGUGUAGCGGUGAAAUGCGCAGAUAUCAGGAGGAACACCGAUGGCGAAGGCAGGUCUCUGGGCCGAUACUGACGCUGAGGAGCGAAAGCGUGGGGAGCAAACAGG
rnacentral:rRNA from 1 species